AGAGCAUCCUACGGGAGGCAGCAGUGGGGAAUAUGCACAAUGGGCGCAAGCCUGAUGCAGCCAUGCCGCGUGUAUGAAGAAGGCCUUCGGGUUGUAAAGUACUUUCAGCAGUGAGGAAGGUGGGUAUGUUAAUAGCAUAUUCAUUUGACGUUAGCUGCAGAAGAAGCACCGGCUAACUCCGUGCCAGCAGCCGCGGUAAUACGGAGGGUGCGAGCGUUAAUCGGAAUUACUGGGCGUAAAAGCGCAUGCAGGUGGUUUGUUAAGUCAGAUGUGAAAGCCCGGGGCUCAACCUCGGAAUUGCAUUUGAAACUGGCAAACUAGAGUACUGUAGAGGGGGUAGAAUUUCAGGUGUAGCGGUGAAAAUGCGUAGAGAUCUGAAGGAAUACCGGUGGCGAAGGCGGCCCCCUGGACAGAUACUGACACUCAGAUGCGAAAGCGUGGGGAGCAAACAGGAUUAGAUACCCUUGUAG
rnacentral:rRNA from 1 species